CAGUACCACGGUAAUACGAAGGGUGCAAGCGUUACUCGGAAUUACUGGGCGUAAAGCGUGCGUAGGUGGUGGUUUAAGUCCGUUGUGAAAGCCCUGGGCUCAACCUGGGAAUUGCAGUGGAUACUGGGUCACUAGAGUGUGGUAGAGGAUAGUGGAAUUUCCGGUGUAGCAGUGAAAUGCGUAGAGAUCGGAAGGAACAUCUGUGGCGAAGGCGACUAUCUGGGCCAACACUGACACUGAGGCACGAAAGCGUGGGGAGCAAACAGGAUUAGAUACCCCCGUAGUCCCUGUCUCUUAUACA
rnacentral:rRNA from 1 species